GGGAAGCUAAAUGAUCAUUAGCAUCAUCAAAGAUUGUAGUGAUUUGUAGCCACUCAUAUGAGAGGAUGAUAAAAAUUAAGGUGAUGUAUAUCUAUAUAUAUGAUAAAAUCUCAUGGAGGAUAAAUGAUGACAUUAUACCGAAUAUUGAUCAGUAGAGAAUAAUGUGUUAUUAUGUAUGUUAUGCAUUGAGGAAAUUGACAUUCAUGUAGCCCCAAUCAUUUUGAUUAAUUAUGGAUUACAUGAUUAUAAGAGAUGUGAGAAAGAUAUGGAUAGACUUCACAAAGACUACUUAUUGCGGAAUAAAUUGUUGGUGAAAUUAUGUAAAUUUUACGCAAUUAUGGAAUGGUAUCCUUUGGUUACAUAUCUUAAUUUAAGGCCCUUAUUUAAUAUACAAGGAGGCUUAUGCAAUGGUAAUAAGUCAAUGUUCUCUUUAUGGAAUAAGAUUGUAGAUCAUCAUUGAUUAAAUGUUAUUAUUGUCUCUUCAUAGAAAGAAAGCACCAAAUUAUGUGGGUUUGGAAAUAUAUGGAGUUUUACUAUCAUAUUACAUUAUGAGGAAGUAAUUGUUUUCCUAUCUAAAGCUGAUGAGGUUUUGAUAUAUGAUAAUGAAUUAUUUUAGAGUUAAGAAAGUGUGUUGUAGUAAACUUAUAAAUUAUGGAUUAUACUAUGGAUUGUUGUAGAGGCAUGAUUAAAACACGAAUUAGAGUUGGUUAUAUUGGAGAUUGAAUUUAGGAAAAUUUGGUGUUAUCACAUUGC
rnacentral:lncRNA from 1 species